GAAAAGAUUGAUUUUUUUCUUUUUUUUUCUUUUUUUUUUAGGUUUUAUGUGAUCACCAAUUUCAUGCAAAAAAGCAAAAAGGGAAAAUAAUUGGAAAAACAAACAUUUAACAUGAAUUUAUUGAAUGAAAAUAUCAUUGUAUUAAUGCGCCAACAAUGUCAUCACCUCUCCUUUUGGCAUGGGAGGAGUGUUUUCUAAACACAAUGAACAUUACUUUGACUUAUGGAUUACUGUUGGAAUAUCCACAGAGACCCAAUUAUUGCAGAUUCCCCCAGGGAUGACGAAGUUGCCAGAAUCCUCUUCGUCCUCUUCCAGAAUGACAGCAGCUUCC
rnacentral:lncRNA from 1 species